UACGUAGGGGGCAAGCGUUGUCCGGAAUUAUUGGGCGUAAAGAGCGUGUAGGCGGUCCGGUAAGUCAGCUGUGAAAGUCAAGGGCUCAACCCUUGAAAGCCGGUUGAUACUGUCGGGCUAGAGUCCGGAAGAGGCGAGUGGAAUUCCCGGUGUAGCGGUGAAAUGCGCAGAUAUCGGGAGGAACACCAGUGGCGAAGGCGACUACCUGGCCUGUUUCUUGACGCUGAGGCGCGAAAGCUAGGGGAGCAAACGGG
rnacentral:rRNA from 1 species